UGCGAACCGAUGGGGAUUUGCAAGCCGGUUCCUAAUUAUGUUGUGUGUGUACAAGGCUGCUGUCAAAACGCUAAUAUGAUGUCUCUGAAGCGGGAGGAGGCCUUUGAAUGAGCAACUUCCAGCCCAGGCUCCUGCCUGUAAGGAUAAGGACCGGAUCGAGCAUCCUCAUUUAGAGCCUUUCACAUAACCCAGGCUAUCACCAUUUCUAACAGAAUGAGAGACAUGGCAUCUGAAAAGAGCUUAAUGUUUCUUUGAAUAAGAUGAUUAAAAAGAAGAUUCACAUCAAUGAUUUAAUCUGGGCCACUGUUGAUGAAGUUCAGAAAGGAGGAUUUGUUCCAGAGGCCUGUGGAGAGAACGGGAAGAGGACAGAAAAUACAGCUUAGUGCUGCAGCAGCAAAGGAAGCUUCCACAGUCACUGACAUCAGCUGCUGGGUCCUGGCUGGCUGAAGCAAGCUUAGGCUUGCAGACUGACUGGAGAGGAGGGCAUGGCAUUGGGGAAAGGAGGAUAAUUGGAACUUUGGAACUUUCUUGCAUAUUUCUGAGUCACUUAUAACUCUUUUUUGUGAAGGGAAUUUUUAUUCUAUAAGAUAAUGUUUGGUUGUUCGUGUGUGGGAAUUCUUAUAAUUCUAGCAUCGACUCCCUUAGUGUUCAUAAUAUAAAUAGUUCCUCCA
ensembl:processed_transcript Gm29999 predicted gene, 29999